GUGCUUGCUUCAGCAGCACAUAUACUAAAAUUAGAAUGAUACAGAGAAGAUUAUCAGGGUUCCUACACAUGGAUGACAUGACAUGCAAAUUCAUGAAGCAUUCCAUAUUUUU